GGGGUUGUAGCUCAGUGGUAGAGCACUUGCCUAGCACAUGCAAGGCCCUGGAUUGGAUCCCCAACACCA
rnacentral:tRNA from 1 species